AGUACUGCUCACCGCACCCACUUUCUAGCCACACAAGCAGCAUCUGCGAAGGAGUUGCAACCACGGUGGCUGCCUGGGGAUCCUGCCUUCUGGUGGGGCCGGUUAGUGGACAGCAAGAAGGACAGGAAAAGUUGACUUGGAAGCUCAAGUGACAUCUUGCCCCAGAUCUGGACUCUGGCUGGAGGAGGCCACCCUCGCUUUUACAGAGCAGGGACACGAGACAGCACGUAACACUGGGGAUGGCCUGUUGGUCUGGCAGACUGCACAGAAGUCGAGCCUGGCCCGUCGCCCAGGGAGAGUCAGCUGGGUCACAGCCCCAGCUCCCGGGACCAUGUGCCAGGUACCAAAGCAGCUUCGGGGUCACCCAAGGUGUCUUGGACUCUGCGUGAGAUGUUACUCUGUGCUCCUGUCUCCGAACUACAGCAGCAGGACACACGCUCCAGGCGCAGCUCUGACCCUACUCCGGCAGCUGCUCAGAAACUUGGCCUCUCACUGGAUGUGGUAGCGCACGCCUGUAAUCCCAGAACCCUGGUGGCUGAGGCAGGAGGAUCACUGUGAGUUUGAGGACAGCCUGGGCUACGCAGUGAGACCCUGUCUCAAAAAAACCCCCAACCCAACAAAAUACUUGCAGAAUGCUGGCUUGCACCUCCUGGUACAGUGGAGGAAGGAGCUGGCCCUUGGGCAAGAGGGCAGAGGCAAACCCUGAGUGGGCAGCGCCAGAGCAAUAAACUCCUGGCCCAGUCGCGAUGACUGCUGCCCUAAAGGGUGUAAGCAGCUUACACUCUCACCAGGCAAGGAGCCUCCCUCUGCCCACAUCCUGCCAACGCUUGGACUUCAUGCCUGUUUUUCUUUGCCAACCUGAUGAGUAGCUUUUGUUAACAUCUGCCUGGUUCCUGUGCAGUCACACACCUUUCAUACAUUUAUUGACAUACAAAUUUCCUCUACUGCAAAAACACCCAGCUGCAGUCUUUCUGCCUUUUUUUUUUUUUUUUUUGUCUUUUUUAUAUCGGUACCAAGAAUCGAACUCACGACUGCCUGCUUGCAAGGCAGGCGCUUAUGCCGCUGAGCUAAAUCCCCAGCUCCUCUUCUUGCCUUCUUACAAAUUUGUUUUUUCUUUUGUUUUGUUUUGUUUUGUUUUUUAAUACCAGGGCCCAAACUCAUGACUUUGUGCUUGCCAGGCAGGCGCUGUGCCGCUAAGCUAUAUCCCUGACAUUUGUUUAUUUUUGGAGAUGGGGUCUUACUAUGAAGCCAAGGCUUACCUGGAACUCAGAGUGAUCCUCCUGCUUCAUCCUCCCAAAAUGUUCUUAUUUAUUUCUAGAAGAUCUGUAUAUAUUCAGGACUCUAAUUCUGAAUACGUGUAUUCUCACCCGGCAAGGACCUAGUCCUACUCCAUCUUUUCUUUGUUCAGUUACCUCUCCUGGGCAGCAUUUUUCUUUCCUUUGAAAUAGGUUUAUCUUUCAGAGCAGCUGUAGGUUCACUGCAAGGUGAGCUGACGGUACUGAGAGUCCCCACGCCUCCGGGGGGAUCAUCCCAACCCUUGAAGCGCAGGUGGCCAGGUCCUCCCCCGCUGGCCUGGGGGUUGCAGGAUGUCAGCUCUGGGAGGGGCUGCAGGGAGACAGUGGCUGCCAAAGGGCUUCGAGAGCUCAGGGCCUUUUUCCCUGUCUUACAACAUAGCCCUGGCUGGCCUGAACGCAUAGUGAUCUUCCUGCCUCAGCCUCCCGAGUAGCCUCCCGCAAGCCUGUGCCACUAUAUCCAGCAACAAUUUUUAGGAAAUAUACAUCGUUGAUAAAAAAAAAAAAAAAAAUACUGAUGUUCCCCCAAAAUAUUAACAGGAUUUAGUUCUGGGAUCACAAAAGAUUUAAUUUUCCUCUUUAUGUUUUUCUAUACUAUUCAAUAUUCCCAAAAUAUAGCUGAGCAUGGUGGCAUGGGCUUGUAGUCUCAGCUACCCAUGAGGCUGAGGCAGGAAGAUGGCCUGAGCCCAGGAGUUUGAGCAUAGCCUAGCAACACAGCCAAACACUGGCAAGAAAAAAAGUUUAACUUUUGUAAUUAGAAAAAAAAUUAUUGAAAAAUAAGAGCAACGUCUAAGCCACAGGAGUCUUGGUGACGAGCGAGGGUGGAAGUUAGGCGGCUUGGCACACGGGAGUGCCCAGGGUAGAGGAGCCUUGCCUGGGCUCUGCCAGCUGUGCGUGGCUGCUCCGUGCCUCAGUCUCCUCAACGAUAACAAAGAGGUGAGUGUAGACGCCCCUGCAGGUGUUGCGCGACACCACAAGCCAAGCGGGUGGCUCUCAGCAGAGUCCUCACUGCCGCAAAGGCGGCACUGACAGCUGCUCACGCACUGGAGUGGCCUCACUGUGCUAACAGGCCAGGGGCGGCGGGGAGCACCUGUAACCCCAGCACCCGGGAGGCUGAGGCAGGAGGAUUGCUGUGCAUUCAAGGCCAACCUGGGCUCCGUAGCAAGACCCUGUCUCAAAAAGCAAAAGCUACAAAAACAGGGCUUGAGAAAAGUUUUGUUCUGUUUUCAAGGUUAGAGAGAGAGAGAUGAGUCAUUUCUGAAGCACCACUGAUGUGGACCAGUGCUCAGGGAGGUUUGCAAACUUGCAAGCACACUUCUGUCUCCCCUUCAGGAAAUCCCAAGCUCCUGGAGGCCAAGGUACCCACCUGUCUUUCACUCCCCCUUUAUGAGGUGGGAGCAAAAAGUAGCAUGUUGGUGUCGCUUAAUUUUAAUGUAUUACUGUAAAAGACACUGCCAUAAUCUCUUCAGAAUCCUCAUGCUCACUUUGAUGCUCACUUUAAGUGUUCUCAUCCGCUGUUCUUGAGGCUUCCUGAAGCUCCUCUGGAAGCCCACUUUCAUGUGGGUCUGUCGUCGCCUUGUUUGGUUUUUUGUCUUUUUUUUUUUAAUCGGUACCAGGGAUCAAACUCACGACUGCCUGCUUGCAAGGCAGGCGCGUAAUGCCACUGAGCUAAAUCCUAAGCCCUGUUGUUGCUUUGGAAUAGCUGUGUCCAUGUCUGUCUGGAACUGAUUCAGAACGUUGACCUUUCGUGGUCAUUUUGACUUGGGAAGCCCCAGAGGUCACAUGGUGCCAGACUGGUGACCGAGGACAACGCGCCACACCGCGGUGGUUUUCAGCCUUCCUUGUCGGGGGAUGGCCCUGGGCAACAGCGUUCACAGCACUUUUCACCACAGUUCAUAGAGACGCUCCUGAAAGAGGACUUUGGAACUGCUUCAGAAAGCGGCAAGGAUGUAGGAUAAGUGUGUUCAAAUGGCGAGGAUUUGAAGGAGCUUCACAACGAUGUGACUCUGGCUAUAAUUAAUUUUUUUUUUUUUUUUGGUCUUUUUAUCGGUACCGGGGAUCGAACGCAGGACUGCCUGUUUGCAAGGCAGGCGCUUAUGCCGCUGAGCUAAAUCCCCAGCCCCUAUAAUGAAUUUCUUUCCUGAAAUACACACCGCAUAUUAUGAUCAGCUUUGCUACACGAACCUAUGGCUCACAGCAGCACGCUGGUUACUUGUGCUCACUACCAGAAUUCACCUCUCACUACAGCAUGACAGAGCCUGAAACCUUAAGGCGACCGACAGCAGAGCAGAGGCAGAGGGACAGGGCGGCAGCGGAUUGGACCAUGGUAAGCAGUACACAGGGGUUUUAGAAGGGGCCUUGGGCAAGAAAUCUGUGUGGCUGGCUUCUGGGGAGACCUGACUGCCACCCUCACGGGUCCUGGGGCUGCAGUGGGGUUGUGUCUGGGCCAAGUGUGACGUCCUCGUUCAGUUCACAGCUCUCUUAGACAUAAGUCCCCCUCAGCUGUCACCAGCUGUCACAACACAGGGCCUGCUGGAGACCAGCAACCUCAGCAAGACUGAUUUAGCACCUGACACCCUCCUUGAAGUCCCCUGAGGCCCCAUUGCUGUGUGGGCCCAGCUGGUCUUUGUCUCCACCUGGCUCUGCCUCUUGCCAUGUUCCCUGCCAACCUGAGCCUGCUAUCUGCACCACUACAGGCAUGAGCCACCACUUCCAGCCAGGGACAAGCCCUGCUCGGCACUGCUGUCAUGCAGGGACAGUGACCUGCCAGCCCUGGGCCUUGCCUGGGGACAGAUCUGUCCAGGCCACCACACCAUGGAGAACCAUUCGCUGCUGGCAAUGAGCAUGCUGUCGGGGUGAUGCUGGGCAGCUCGCCUGGCCACCGUGGGCCUGCCUCCAGCUCCAUGACAAUUGACACCUCUCUAUCGGGGCCACUGUGAGUGGUGAUGGCGGAAAUGAGUGUCUCCCAGUUAUGAGCCCUGCAAGUUCCCGCGGGGAUUCUCAUCGUAUCCAUGCAUCACCUGCUUCUCUUUUUCCUCAGUGCUUGCCACGACAGUGACCCAUGUCACUUCACAGAGGCUCAGGAGCACAGAGCAUGUUCAACCUACUGUCCCUCCUCUUCCUUUGAUCUUUUAAAAAAUGCCUGUCUCCAGGUCCUUGAAUUCUUGGACAGGUCAAGCCUGUUUUGAACUAGCUACAUUUUCUACUAGUCAUUAAAAUAAUGCUCAAUUGUUCAAAUAGAAAGGCUCCUAGAAGCCAGGCACAGUGGUGCACACCUGGAACACCAGCACUUGGGAGGCUGAGGCAGGAGGAUCACCGUGAGUUCAAUAUCAAUGCCUGGGUUACACAGUGACACCCUGUCUCAGAAAACCAAAAAAUAAAAUAAGAUCAAAGUUCAACCACCCAGAUAGGAUGGGUUCUGGGGACUCAGCUUGCUCGGGAAGACCUAAGAUACGGACAAGAGACCUCAAGCCUGAGUCACCACGCUAGAGAUCUCAGGUGGACCUGUGUGCUGGGAGAGGAGGCAACAGCCUCACAGAGACUGGGGCCAGGGCCUCCUCCCUCCCAGGGCCCAGGAGAGGGGGACAGGGGGCACAGGGAGCCCUGGGGCUGAGUGUGGGGCGGUGCCAGCUCACGGCAGGAGUCUGUCCCUCCUAUCACUGUCACCCUGCACACCCACAGCCAGUCAGUGGCUGAGAACGGGAGAGGAAGGCUGAACCCAGGCACAGGAGCACAGAGCUCAGCUCGUCAUGAGCAGCAGCAGGCGUGACUCUGGGCUCAGCCCCGUCCUGGCAAGAUCCAGGCACCUUGGGGACUACCGUUUGGAGGGAUGUGGUUGAAAAAUAUGGUAAUUGUUAAGGAAAACUAUUACAGUAACAGACGCAUUGCCAUGAAUCCCCCUCAGGAUCCCCUUCAAACACACUUGUCCCUGCAGCCUCGCCUCUUCCUGCAGCAGGCUGGAGUCCUCUUUCCUAAGGGUCUUUAGUUAUGCAGUCCUGGCUGCCUCGAUGUCCUGAACUGAUUUAAAACAUUGACCUUUCAUGGUACCUUUGACUCUGGGGAAGAGCGGAAGUCACAUGGUGCCAGAUCUGGUGAAUAACGUGAGGAAGACCCAGUGCCUUUCCACUGCGUGGCACCUAGCAGCAACAAUCAUCGUGUUUUUGAUUACAGCUUGUAAAAACACUCAGGAAAGGGGCUUUUAGAACUGCUUCUGAAAACGGCAAGAACAUGGGAAAUGUGUUUUGAAAGGGAAAGUUUUUUAUUUUGUUUUGUUUUUGUACUGGGGAUCGAACUCAUGACCUCAAGCUUACCAGGCAAGUGCUUGAGUUGCCAAGCUAAGUCCCCAGCCUGGGAGAGUGCUUAGGGACUUCACUGUAAUCUCUUUUACUGUAACAAAGAUUUUUGAUUUAAGCAUUUA